UACGUAGGGUGCAAGCGUUGUCCGGAAUUAUUGGGCGUAAAGAGCUCGUAGGCGGUCUGUCGCGUCGGAUGUGAAAAUCCAGGGCUCAACCCUGGACCUGCAUUCGAUACGGGCAGACUAGGGUUCGGCAGGGGAGAAUGGAAUUCCCGGUGUAGCGGUGAAAUGCGCAGAUAUCAGGAGGAACACCGGUGGCGAAGGCGGGUCUCUGGGCCGAUACUGACGCUGAGGAGCGAAAGCGUGGGGAGCGAACAGG
rnacentral:rRNA from 1 species